rnacentral:rRNA from 1 species
UACGUAGGGUGCAAGCGUUGUCCGGAAUUAUUGGGCGUAAAGAGCUCGUAGGCGGUUUGUUGCGUCGGCUGUGAAAUCCCGAGGCUCAACCUCGGGUCUGCAGUCGAUACGAGCAAACUAGAGUGUUGCAGGGGAGACUGGAAUUCCUGGUGAUAGCGGUGAAAUGCGCAGAUAUUGGGAAGAACACCUGAGGCGAAGGCGGCCACCUGGCUUGGUAGUUGACGCUGAGG